GAGAGAGAGAGAGAGAGAGAGAGAGAGAGAGAGAGAGAGAGAGAGAGAGAAUAUACUGUGCGAGAGUGUGUAUAUACUGUAAGCCACCAAAGAAACAAGAGGAAAAGUAAGACGAAGAGGAGAAUGAAGUAGAUAAAGAAAUAGGAGGAAGAGGAGAAGAGGGUAAAAGGAAUAAAAAGAUAAGGACAGCCAGAGCCUUCGUGAAUCCGUUUGUUCGCGUUUGGUGCGGUGAAAAGGAGGAGCCGUGCUGCACGGAGUUGCUCAGUGGUUUGGAGUCGAUAGCGAGCGAGGGCAUAGCUGGGCAUAGCGUGGGCUAGGUAGUGCGGGAGGGCAAGACGGGAGGCCCUGGCGACAGACUGGCGGGCGCGCACCUGCACUCGCUGUUGCCUCGCCGAAGGAGGCUACGAGCCGACACUGCUCGACACUCACAAUCAGGGGCGCACCUAACGCACCUAACAUACCCCGGCAUUCUCUGACUCUUCCUGGACCUCUGGAUCCCCGGGACCGCCUUCAGGAUUUCUUUUUCUACGUCCUGUAAAAGAGAUCUCUCGAAUCUCUUCAGUAAUAUGUAAUUUGCGAAUCGUGACUGUGACGUAUUGAGAGAUUUUGAUGACCAAAGUGAUGAUGAUGAUGAUGAUGAUGUGAAGUUGGAGUCUCGUGAGGUAUAUGCUGACCGCGAUAUUGAUUCUGAUCUGGAGAUGAUGAAGAACCAGAGGAAUUGCAACCAUUGUUCAGCAGCAUGGGAUUGGAAGUUCCUUGAAUAGCGAAUGGCCAGGACUGAAAGAAUAAUGGAUGAUUAAUAAAGAUUCAUCUUGUUGAAGGAGUCAAGCGAACGAGGGAAGGAAGAAAGACUAACGGGAGAACAAAGUUAGAAUUAAUGGGAAGGGAGGAGGAACGAGAGGGAAAGAAGGGAGUUGAAAGUGAUUCGGUCCACCUGGUCAGACGUAAACAGAGAGAGGAUGCCUAGAAUUGUGGCAUCCUUUACGUCGCGACGCUGACAAUGAAUGGAUCCACCUGGUGCUACUGAUUCGAGGAAGUGAAAGAAAUCAAAGAUACCGAGGAGCGAGAUCAGUAUCGAUAUGGAUGCUGAGGAUGAGCAGGAUAUAAUAUCUUUCAUGGUAUGCUUACCAGUGCAAGAGACAAGGACUUUGUACUCUCAUAAUGUGGAUCAACGUCAUCUCUGAGUACAGCACGUAGAUGAGCAAUGUACGUGGCAGCAAGUCGCAGCGUAUCCAGUUUGCUGAGUUUCGUAUCGGCUGGCACCCAGGGACUAACUCUUUCCUUCCCGUACCUUAUAUUGGAUCGAUAUCUCAAGGAUCACGAUCACGCGGAUAAGGAACGACAAGCUUUGUCGAUCGGGUGGAACUAAUUGCUGUGGGUGCUAAGAAGUCCCGUGGGAGGAAGAG